UGCAGCCUGGCUGCUGUGGAGGGCAGGAUCUCCAGCCGAGCAGGCUGCCUUUUGGGUUAUUCCUUCUGGAACAGACUUUUCUGAAGGACCAUGCAAAUCUGCAGCUGGUCCUAAGGCAAACAAAUCUAUUCUCGUCUCAACGAAUGCAUUCACUUGGAUGCUGGGCUUAGCUUGAUCAAAAGGAAAGAUACAAGAUUCUUCCUCACAAGUUCAGGACUGAGAAAACCAAGCUUUCAAGCGCUGAAGCAAAAGCUUAUACUGUCCAGUCAACACCCCAAAGCAGUUCGCGAUUUAGAAGACGCCAAGAACCUGGACACCCUCCACUGGUAACAGUCUUAGGCCGAUUGGGAGAGCAGUGGCUGGUAAGAAGAGAGGGUCUGGCAAGCCCCAAGGAACACCGGCAAGCCAAGGAACACCAGCAACCACUGCUAACCACUCAGACUCCAGAACAUGCUCAAGUGUCUUACAGGAACAAAUGUAUUUUGUUUUGAUUUUUUGUUUUGUUUUGUUUUUUCCCCUAGCAGAGAGCUCUGUAAGCUGGUGUUCUGAACAUACUUUUGAAGGAUGUUCCUUACCAUUGUAUUUCAAGUUUCAUUAUAUGUGGUUUCCAUAUACAACUUUAAAAGCUAAAUCUACUUGCUUCUGUAGAGAUGCAUUAUGUGCUGUUUUCAUAUAGCGAAUGGAACUGUUUUCCAAGCAUAAAAUUUCGUAAGCAAGUGUUUCAAACAUGUUUUUGGGAGAUGUUUCUAGCAUUGCAUCUCAUCGUGCAUGAGGGCUUUAUACAUAAAUGUUUUAGAGCUAAAUCUAAGCAUACUUUUUAAGAGAUACAUUAUGUGCUGUUUUCCUACAGUGAAUGGAACUGUUUUCCAUGCAGAGGGCUCUUAAAGUAGGUGUUUGGAACAUACUUUCGAAAGAUGUUUCUUACCAUUGUGUUUAAGGUCUCAUUGUGAGGGGCUUACAUAUACAGGUAUAUGUACACUUGGCAAAGGGGACCAAUGGCUAAUAGCUUUUUAAUUUUUAUAUAUAUUUUUGAGAUAAGGUCUCACUCUGUCACCCAGACUGGAGUGCAGUGGCACGGUCGUGGCUCACCACAGCCUUGGACCUCCUGGGCUCAAGUGAUCCUCCUGCCUCAGCCUCCCAAGGAGCUGGGACCACAGGCAUGUGCCACCAUGCACAACUAAUUUUUUCUAUUUUUUGUAGAGACAGGGUCUCACUGUGUUGUCCAGGCUGGCCUCAAGCUCCUGGGCUCAAGAGAUCCUCCCGCCUCGGCCCCCACGAAGUGCUAGGAUUACAGGCAUGAGCCACCGUGCAUGGUGCUAACGGCUUUUAAAAAACUGUGCAAUCUACAGCCUGAUAAAUCAUAAAUCAUUUAUACUUCUCCAUUUGCUCAACCACCACUUUUUAUGUGCCCACUGAAUCCAUGGCACUUUUCUAGGCUGCAUGGUGGGGAUAUCAAGUAGAAGAUACAGCCUCAACCUAGAGGGACCAAUGAUCUAAUGAUAGCAACAAGGUUCCAUUUGUUGCCAUCACAGAUGAGAACUCCUAAGAAGCAAGUCAAUGAACAAAGGGAUUGCAAAGGCGGUAUGAGUGUCCAGUUAGGAAGUGAGAUGAGGUUCAGCAGGGAAAACAGCCUUUGUCCUGCAGUCAUAAUUUAUGCAGAAGCCUGAUCUGCCCUUGUACAAAUUCUGUCAAGGAUUUUUCCCCCCAACCCACCUGUUCAGCUGGUCUUCUGAAUCUGUAAGACUGAACUAUUUUUCAGAAAAAUAUUCAAUAGCCCUUUGGGCUAUUUUUCUAUCCCACAGAGGCCACAAAUCUGUAUCAAUUAUAAUAAGAAAGAGGGAAACUCCAGAUGUGGUGAGCUGGAGGAACCUCAGGGCACUUCAUUAUGAAUAUUUAGACAGUUUUCCUCUUGUUAUGAAAAUUAUGUCAAUCUGUUCCCCAGCAUGAGUUUCUGAUGAAUUUCAAUAUCAUAAAAGCUUUUUUUUUUGAGAGGGUGGGGAUGAUAAUGUUGUUUAACUAAAUCCUGAUCAGCUGAGUUUCACUUUCACUCAGAAAAUACCAACUCAUAUCAACAUUUUUAAAAUCAUCACAACUCUUAACCCUGAUGUGAGCUAGUAUUUUAGCAUGCUAAGGAGACAGACAUCUACGCAGGAAGGAGCUGCCCUCUUCUGCACUGCUGGGCAAUUUUUGUUAUAGUUUGUCUUCUGGCCAGAAGGAAGAGGGAAGGAGGUUGCUCAGAUCCCAAGCUCAGGGUCAUUUCUAAUAUGUAGUUGUUCAGUUACUCUGUGGCCUGUUACCUAAACAUAGGUGUCGUAUCAAAAUCCCGAAGCAGGGAAAUGGUCCAAAUGAAAGGGGCUUUUUAGGGGGCUUCUUAGGGGUCUGGGGUGGCACUAAAUGGAAAUCAUGGAAG
rnacentral:lncRNA from 10 species